rnacentral:rRNA from 1 species
GACGAACGCUGGCGGCGUGCCUAAUACAUGCAAGUAGAACGCUGAAGGAUGAGCUUGCUCUUCUGGAUGAGUUUCGAACGGGUGAGUAACGCGUAGGUAACCUGCCUGGUAGCGGGGGAUAACUAUUGGAAACGAUAGCUAAUACCUCAUAACAUUAGAUGUUGCAUGACAUUUACUUAAAAGGUGCAAUUGCAUCACUACCAGAUGGACCUGCGUUGUAUUAGCUAGUUGGUGGGGUAACGGCUCACCAAGGCGACGAUACAUAGCAGACCUGAGAGGGUGAUCGGACACACUGGGACUGAGACACGGCCAAGACUACUACGGGAGGCAGCAGUAGGGAAUAUUCGGCAAUGGACGGAAGUAUGACCGAGCAACGCAGAGUGAGUGAAGAAGGUUUUCGGAUCGUAAAGCUCUGUUGUAAGAGAAGAACGAGUGUGAGAGUGGAAAGUUCACACUGUGACGGUAUCUGACCAGAAAGGGACGGCUAACUACGUG